rnacentral:rRNA from 1 species
GGUCGGUUCGGCCGGGUUUCACACAGGUGUUGCAUGGCUGUCGUCAGCUCGUGUCGUGAGAUGUUGGGUUAAGUCCCGCAACGAGCGCAACCCUCAUCCUUAGUUACCAUCAGGUAAUGCUGGGGACUUUAAGGAAACUGCCAGUGAUAAACUGGAGGAAGGUGGGGAUGAUGUCAAGUCAUCAUGGCCCUUAUGGAGUGGGCUACACACGUGCUACAAUGGUGGCUACAAUGGGCUGCAAAGUCGCGAGGCUAAGCUAAUCCCUUAAAAGCCAUCUCAGUUCGAAUUGUACUCUGCAACUCGAGUGCAUGAAGUUGGAAUCGCUAGUAAUCGUGGAUCAGCACGCCACGGUGAAUACGUUCUCGGGUCUUGUACACACUGCCCGUCACGCACAUGG